rnacentral:tRNA from 1 species
ACGUUGGUGGGACAGCGGUAGAAUCCUCCCCUUCCAUGUGGGAGACUUGGGUUUGAUUCCCAGCCAACGCA